CGGACGGGUGAGUAAUGUCUGGGAAACUGCCUGAUGGAGGGGGAUAACUACUGGAAACGGUAGCUAAUACCGCAUAAUGUCGCAAGACCAAAGAGGGGGACCUUCGGGCCUCUUGCCAUCGGAUGUGCCCAGAUGGGAUUAGCUAGUAGGUGGGGUAACGGCUCACCUAGGCGACGAUCCCUAGCUGGUCUGAGAGGACGACCAGCCACACUGGAACUGAGACACGGUCCAG
rnacentral:rRNA from 1 species